GUUUAAUUUACUAUUUUUACUAUUUUAAUGUGUUUUUAUAUUUAAGUUUAUUUCUAACUUUAUUUUAUUUUCGCACUUAAUUUAUGAAUAAAUAGCGCUUUGACACCCUUCCAGUCCGCAGGUCAUAACUGGAGCUACGAAUAUCGGAUUGAGGCUCCGGAAGAUGCGUUGGAAAGCUGAGAUCAAGAUCUACAACUUUCAUGUUGAGGCAAAAACCCAGUUCGGAGCGCAAGUGUGUCAAAUAUUUACGUUUAUGUUCCAGACUUUAUGAAAAUAAUGUAAUUUCGGGUCAAACUUAUGUUUUUCGACCCGUAGCUUUUUAAGCCCAAUUUUCUCUGAGUACUUAAGCAAAAACACAGCUAGGGUUUCAGGAGAAUUCUGAUUUCACGCAAAAAAAUAGAAAAGAAAGGCUGCUACAUUCUCAUGGAGAACUAGCAACCCUAGGUUGAUCCAUUGGUAUACGGGAACAUCGUUCAUGACUUCUUGAGGUUCAAUUCUUAAUANNNNN
rnacentral:lncRNA from 1 species